rnacentral:rRNA from 1 species
GGAUCAGGUAGGGAUACCUGCUGAACUUAAGCAUAUCAAUAGCCGGGAGGA